rnacentral:rRNA from 1 species
AUACGGAGGAUGCAAGCGGUUAUCCGGAUUCAUUGGGUUUAAAGGGUGCGUAGGCGGCUUUUUAAGUCAGUGGUGAAAUCCUGCCGCUUAACGGUAGAAUUGCCAUUGAUACUGAAAAGCUUGAGUACAAUUGAGGUAAGCGGAAUGUGUAGUGUAGCGGUGAAAUGCUUAGAUAUUACACAGAACACCAAUUGCGAAGGCAGCUUACUAAACUGUUACUGACGCUGAUGCACGAAAGCGUGGGGAGC